AGCAGCCGCGGUAAUUCCAGCUCCAAUAGCGUAUAUUAAAGUUGUUGCAGUUAAAAAGCUCGUAGUUGAAUUUCGAGACCGGUUUACUGGUCGUGCUUUUGUACGUACUGGUAUUAUUGGUUUCUCCUUUCUGACGAACUAUAAUGCCAUUAAUUUGGUGUUUUAGGGAAUCAGGACUGUUACUUUGAAAAAAUUAGAGUGUUUAAAGCAGGCUCACGCUUGAAUACAUUAGCAUGGAAUAACGGAAUAGGACGUUUGAUUCUAUUUUGUUGGUUUCUAGGAUCGACGUAAUGAUUAAUAGGGAUAGUUGGGGGCAUUAGUAUUCAAUUGUCAGAGGUGAAAUUCUUGGAUUUAUUGAAGACUAACUACUGCGAAAGCAUUUGCCAAGGAUGUUUUCAUUAAUCAAGAACGAAAGUUAGGGGAUCGAAGACGAUCAGAUACCGUCGUAGUCUUAACCAUAAACUAUGCCGACUA
rnacentral:rRNA from 1 species